rnacentral:rRNA from 1 species
AUUGAACGCUGGCGGCAGGCUUAACACAUGCAAGUCGAGCGGGGUGAUGGUGCUUGCACUAUCACUUAGCGGCGGACGGGUGAGUAAUGCUUAGGAAUCUGCCUAUUAGUGGGGGACAACGUCUCGAAAGGGAUGCUAAUACCGCAUACGUCCUACGGGAGAAAGCAGGGGAUCUUUAUGACCUUGCGCUAAUAGAUGAGCCUAAGUCGGAUUAGCUAGUUGGUGGGGUAAAGGCCUACCAAGGCGACGAUCUGUAGCGGGUCUGAGAGGAUGAUCCGCCACACUGGGACUGGGACUCGGCCCAGACUCCUACGGGAGGCAGCAGUGGGGAAUAUUGGACAAUGGGGGGAACCCUGAUCCAGCCAUGCCGCGUGUGUGAAGAAGGCCUUAUGGUUGUAAAGCACUUUAAGCGAGGAGGAGGCUCUUUUGGUUAAUACCCAGAAUGAGUGGACGUUACUCGCAGAAUAAGCAUCGGCUAACUCUGUGCCAGCCGCCGCCGUAAAAC